AAAGAUACCUGAUAAAAUAUUAAUAAAGUCUGAAGGGUGGGUUUCACCUUUCAAGAUUAAAUUUGGAUUGAUUUUCUGGGAAGAUAAACCUUUCUCACAAAGUAGCGGGUGUUCAAUUCCAAGCCUCUAUGUCCGAACAAAGAAGAAACCUGUGUCACAAAAGAAGCUUGUCUAAACUAGUGGUACACAGAUAUGUAAGAAUGUCAAUCCCUUCAUUGUGUGGUUGCAGAGGGAUGAAUCUGAAUCCGAAUCCGAAUCUGAAUAGAGAUUCCACUCCAGACAAUCAAGACAGAUGUCAUCGGCACAUUGAAUAUGCUGGGACUUGCCAAGCAUGUUGGAGCAAGGAUUUUACUCACAUUAACUUGUGAGGCUUGUGCAUCCCCGAACUGAGGAUUACUGGGGCAAUGUAAUUGUAAACCCUAUUGCUGAAACUUUGAAGUGGUAGAGCUGUUUAUUCAGUGCCAAAUCAUGUUACAACUGACAGAACCAAAAUACUCCAGCAAUGGUCCCGUUCAAGGCUGGGUUGGAACUGGGGCACAUCAACUCGUAAUCCUUCCACUGUCAAGCCAGCCUGACGCGGUGCCCUCCGCUAUAAUGAUCACACAGCCCAAGCCUACGCCCGGACAGUGCGACCACGUGUGCACACCAGCACCUAGCGAGUGAAACCUUUUUAGUUCAUUUUUCUUUAAGCAGAGGUGAAGUGUUGACCAGGAUGGGUUGGAACUGGGGCACAUCAACUCGUAAUCCUUCCACUGUCAAGGCUGGUGUGCACAUCAACAUAUCGUGCACACCAGCACCUACCGAGUGAAACCCGACCAGCGUUCAACCAUCUUAAUGUCCCCACUUGGGUUACAAGCUCGCGCAACCGAGCUCGACGUUCAUUUCUCAAAAUUUGAGAUCUUUAUAGCAAGUACAGUUUUCAUUUGUGAGAAAUCUGGGACUAAAUCCUUCUUCUCCUUUAAACGCACUAAAUCUUAACUCUGAAAUGUGGGCUCUAUUUCAGAGUUAAGAUUAUAACUCUGAAUCCUCUGCAACCGAGCUUAGAGUGAAAACCUGGAACAUCUUUGUAUUAGCAAUAUUGAAUCGAUAUCUACACACAGAGCUUGGUUUUUUACCCCAAAAAACCUCCAGCAAAAUCUGACUCAGUUUUACUUGAAGGUGUGGGUGGAACUUCACCGCCUUACGAUGAAUUGAAUGCUGAUUUUUAUGCUUCAUGAAUUUGAUAGCAACCAGUUGGUAUU